rnacentral:rRNA from 1 species
ACAAUGAAGAGUUUGAUCCUGGCUCAGGAUGAACGCUAGCGGGAGGCUUAACACAUGCAAGUCGAGGGGCAGCACGAGGUAGCAAUACUUUGGUGGCGACCGGCAGACGGGUGAGUAACGCGUAUGUAACCUACCCUGUACAGGGGGAUAACCCGGAGAAAUUCGGACUAAUAUCCCAUAGAAAUAUCGGAAGGCAUCUUUUGAUAUUUAAAGUUCCGGCGGUACGGGAUGGGCAUGCGUAACAUUAGCUAGUUGGUAAGGUAACGGCUUACCAAGGCUUUGAUGUUUAGGGGUCCUGAGAGGGUGAUCCCCCACACUGGUACUGAGACACGGACCAGACUCCUACGGGAGGCAGCAGUGAGGAAUAUUGGUCAAUGGGCGCAAGCCUGAACCAGCCAUCCCGCGUGCAGGAAGACGGCCCUAUGGGUUGUAAACUGCUUUUCCAGGGGGAGAAACUUGCGUACGCGUUGCGCAAUUGACGGUACCCUGGGAAUAAGCAUCGGCUAACUCCGUGCCAGCAGCCGCGGUAAUACGGAGGAUGCAAGCGUUAUCCGGAUUCAUUGGGUUUAAAGGGUGCGUAGGCGGACUAUUAAGUCAGUGGUGAAAUCCUGCAGCUUAACUGCAGAACUGCCAUUGAUACUGAUAGCCUUGAGUUUGGUUAAGGUAGGCGGAAUGUGUAAUGUAGCGGUGAAAUGCUUAGAUAUUACACAGAACACCAAUUGCGUAGGCAGCUUACUGAGCCGACACUGACGCUGAGGCACGAAAGCGUGGGGAUCGAACAGGAUUAGAUACCCUGGUAGUCCACGCCGUAAACGAUGAUUACUCGCUGUUGGCGAUACACUGUCAGCGGCUAAGCAAAAGCAAUAAGUAAUCCACCUGGGGAGUACGGCCGCAAGGUUGAAACUCAAAGGAAUUGACGGGGGCCCGCACAAGCGGAGGAACAUGUGGUUUAAUUCGAUGAUACGCGAGGAACCUUACCUGGGCUUAAAUGUAGAGUGCAUUUUUUAGAGAUAGAAAUUCCCUUCGGGGCUUUCUGCAAGGUGCUGCAUGGUUGUCGUCAGCUCGUGCCGUGAGGUGUCGGGUUAAGUCCCAUAACGAGCGCAACCCUUAUCGUUAGUUGCCAUCUGGUAAAGCAGGGGACUCUAGCGAAACUGCCACCGUAAGGUGAGAGGAAGGUGGGGAUGACGUCAAAUCAGCACGGCCCUUAUGUCCAGGGCUACACACGUGCUACAAUGGCCGGUACAAAGGGCAGCAAUACCGCGAGGUGGAGCUAAUCCCAAAAAGCCGGUCUCAGUUCGGAUUGGAGUCUGCAACUCGACUCCAUGAAGUUGGAAUCGCUAGUAAUCGCGUAUCAGCGUGACGCGGUGAAUACGUUCCCGGGCCUUGUACACACCGCCCGUCACACCACGGGAGUUGAUUGUACCUGAAGCCGGUGGGCUAACCUUCGGGAGGCAGCCGUCUAUGGUAUGAUCGGUAACUGGGGUGAAGUCGUAACAAGGUAGCCGUAGGGGAACCUGCGGCUGGAUCACCUCCUUU